rfam:Bacteroidales bacterium 43_8 Ley3_66761_scaffold_6335, whole genome shotgun sequence.
GCCCUUGUAGUUCAAUGGAUAGAACGGAAGUUUCCUAAACUUUAAAUCCGAGUUCGAUUCUCGGCGAGGGUA